rnacentral:lncRNA from 1 species
UGCAAAUCGUGUCCAGUUAAUCAGGCAAACUACUGAUCCCAAACAGUGGCAUUAUGUCGACACGGCACAAAACCCUGCCGAUCAUGCCUCUAGGGGGCUCAGUGCAUCAGAUCUCUCAUCAACUACCUGGUUAUCAGGCCCAAAGUUUCUGUGGGAGCCAGAUAUCCCAUUCACUCCAAACAAGACAACUAAACUGCUAGUUGGAGAUCCAGAAGUAAAAGCUGUUAACGUACUCACAACCCAUACAAACAAACUAAAUGACAUUCUAAAUCGUCUCACAAAGUUCUCUAGUUGGUCAAUGCUUCUCAAAGUAAUCGCUAGAAUAAAGAGACUUAGGUCAAAACAAAUCACACAUGUCAAUCUUGUCACAGUCAAAGAAAGAAAAGUAGCUGCUGAUACAGUAAUAAGCCUUUUGCAGCAGCAUGCUUUCCCCCAAGAGCUAGAAAGGUUGAAGGUGGGAGAAAACCUUCCCAGUUCAAGUCCCCUGUUUCCAUUAGAUCCCGUAUUGGAUCAGGGUCUCCUCCGUGUUGGAGGCAGGCUAAAGAAAUCCACUCUUGGUCAGGAACUCAAACAUCCCAUUAUUCUUCCUAAAGAUCAUCACAUAACAAAUCUGAUUAUGUCCCACUGCCACUCCAAAAUCUGCCACCAGGGCAGAAGUCAAACGUUGAUGGAGUUGAGAGCAAAUGGAUUUUGGGUGAUUGGUGGAAGUAAGGAAGUGGCAAAGUUGAUAAACAAAUGUGUGCAAUGUCGAAAGCUAAGACGCCCGACUGAAGAACAACGCAUGUCAGAGCUUCCAAAGGAACGAGUUGAAAUCUCCGAGCCCUUUGUGUACUGUGGAAUGGAUUGCUUUGGACCAUUCAUGACCAAGCAAGGCCGUAAAGAGCACAAACGAUACGGACUACUUUUUACCUGUCUCUCAUCACGUGCAGUCCACAUAGAAAUGCUCGAAGAUUUGUCCACAGAUUCAUUCAUUAAUGCCUUGAGAUGUUUUAUCAGUCUAAGAGGAGCUGUAAGUAGGCUCUACUGUGACCAAGGCACAAACUUCGUGGGCGCAAAAAAUGAACUCAAAGAGGCUCUCAAGCAAUGUGACACAAAUGCCCUUGAAGUGUUCUUAGCUGACAAACAAUGUGAGUUCGUGUUCAAUGCCCCAUCUGCUAGUCAUGCCGGAGGCGUGUGGGAACGCCAGAUCCGAACCAUCCGCAAUGUUCUCAAUGCCACCAUUGCUCAGAGUUCCGGAAGGUUUGAUGAUGCUUCCCUGAGAACACUUUUCUAUGAGGCAAUGUCAAUAAUCAAUGGACGACCACUAAGUGUUGAUACAAUCAAUGAUCCAAAGUCACCUGAACCGCUCUCUCCAAACCACCUCAUACUCAUGAAAUCCAAAGUCGCUUUACCACCUCCUGGAAAGUUUGUAAAAGAGGAUUUGUAUGCAAGGAAAAGGUGGCGCAGAGUUCAAUAUCUCACUGAACAGUUCUGGAGUAGGUGGAAAAGAGAAUACCUUUUGAACAUUUCCAUGAGACAAAAAUGGCACGUACCACGUCGAAAC